CACGUAGGGCGCAAGCGUUGUCCGGAAUUAUUGGGCGUAAAGAGCUCGUAGGCGGUCUGUUACGUCUGCUGUGAAAACCCUGGGCUUAACCCUGGGCUUGCAGUGGAUACGGGCAGACUAGAGGCAGGUAGGGGAGAAUGGAAUUCCCGGUGUAGCGGUGAAAUGCGCAGAUAUCGGGAGGAACACCGGUGGCGAAGGCGGGUCUCUGGGCCGAAAUUGACGCUGAGGAGCGAAAGCGUGGGGAGCAAACAGG
rnacentral:rRNA from 1 species